rnacentral:ncRNA from 1 species
AUCGGCCUGUGCCACGAUGAUCCUGGUCGAUGACGAGGAAUCCGGUGUGAAUCCGGAGCGGUCCCGCCACUGUGAGCGCCGACGGCGCGAGCCAGGGCAUCGGAGUCGACUGCGG